CACGUAGGGGACGAGCGUUGUCCGGAUUCAUUGGGCGUAAAGCGCGCGUAGGCGGCUCGGAAAGUCGGUCGUGAAAUGCCGGGGCUCAACCCCGGGACUGCGUCCGAUACUCUCGAGCUGGAGGCAGGUAGGGGAGAUCGGAAUUCCUGGUGUAGCGGUGAAAUGCGCAGAUAUCAGGAGGAACACCGGUGGCGAAGGCGGCAUCCUGGACCGACACUGACGCUGAUGAGCGAAAGCCAGGGGAGCAAACGGG
rnacentral:rRNA from 1 species